rnacentral:rRNA from 1 species
GAUGAACGCUAGCGGCAGGCCUAAUACAUGCAAGUCGAGGGGUAUGGGUUGCUUGCAACCCAGAGACCGGCGCACGGGUGCGUAACGCGUAUGCAAUCUACCUUAAUCAGGGGGAUAGCCCGGAGAAAUCCGGAUUAACACCGCAUAACAUUGAGUUGUGGCAUCACAGUUCUAUCAAAUAUUUAUAGGAUUAAGAUGAGCAUGCGUGACAUUAGUUAGUUGGUGAGGUAACGGCUCACCAAGACCACGAUGUCUAGGGGAUCUGAGAGGAUGACCCCCCACACUGGUACUGAGACACGGACCAGACUCCUACGGGAGGCAGCAGUAAGGAAUAUUGGUCAAUGGGCGCAAGCCUGAACCAGCCAUGCCGCGUGCAGGAAGACGGCCCUAUGGGUUGUAAACUGCUUUUGUACCGGAAUAAACCUUCUCUUGCGAGAGAAGCUGAACGUACGGUAAGAAUAAGGAUCGGCUAACUCCGUG